rnacentral:rRNA from 1 species
ACCCGCUGAACUUAAGCAUAUCAAUAAGCGGAGGAAAAGAAACCAACAGGGAUUGCCCUAGUAACGGCGAGUGAAGCGGCAACAGCUCAAAUUUGAAAUCUGGCGUCUUUGGCGUCCGAGUUGUAAUUUGCAGAGGGCGCUUUGGCAUUGGCAGCGGUCCAAGUUCCUUGGAACAGGACGUCACAGAGGGUGAGAAUCCCGUACGUGGUCGCUAGCCUUUACCGUGUAAAGCCCCUUCGACGAGUCGAGUUGUUUGGGAAUGCAGCUCUAAAUGGGAGGUAAAUUUCUUCUAAAGCUAAAUACUGGCCAGAGACCGAUAGCGCACAAGUAGAGUGAUCGAAAGAUGAAAAGCACUUUGGAAAGAGAGUUAAAAAGCACGUGAAAUUGUUGAAAGGGAAGCGCUUGCAGCCAGACUUGCCUGUAGUUGCUCAUCCGGGUUUUUACCCGGUGCACUCUUCUAUAGGCAGGCCAGCAUCAGUUUGGGCGGUUGGAUAAAGGUCUCUGUCAUGUACCUCUCUUCGGGGAGAACUUAUAGGGGAGACGACAUGCAACCAGCCCGGACUGAGGUCCGCGCACCUGCUAGGAUGCUGGCGUAAUGGCUGU